rnacentral:rRNA from 1 species
AAUACCGCAUACGACCUGAGGGUGAAAGCGGGGGAUCUUCCGGACCUCGCGCUAUUGGAGCCGCCGAUGGCAGAUUAGCUAGUUGGUGGGGUAAAGGCCUACCAAGGCGACGAUCUGUAGCUGGUCUGAGAGGACGACCAGCCACACUGGGACUGAGACACGGCCCAGACUCCUACGGGAGGCAGCAGUGGGGAAUUUUGGACAAUGGGCGAAAGCCUGAUCCAGCAAUGCCGCGUGUGUGAUGAAAGGGCUUCGGGUUGUAAAGCACUUUUGGCGGGAACGAAAAGGACUGUGCCAAUACCACGGUUCGAUGUC